rnacentral:pre_miRNA from 1 species
AUGUUAACGUAUGAUAUAUUAACAUCGGUUUUUUGGAAAAUCGAUGUUAAUGCAUAUACGUUAACAU